rnacentral:rRNA from 1 species
UACGUAGGGUGCGAGCGUUGUCCGGAAUUAUUGGGCGUAAGAGCUUGUAGGCGGUUUGUCGCGUCUGCUGUGAAAAUCCGGGGCUCAACCCCGGACUUGCAGCGGGUACGGCAGACUAGAGUGUGUAGGGGAGACUGAAUUCCUGGUGUAGCGGUGAAAUGCGCAGAUAUCAGGAGGAACACCGGUGGCGAAGGCGGGUCUCUGGGCCGAGUACUGACGCUGAGGAGCGAAAGCGUGGGGAGCAAACAGG